UCAUACUUCUUUGCACUCAAACAUAAACAACCUCUUCCCAGCUGUGUGCUUUGAAAAACAAGCUGCCUGAGAAUUGUACCAGGGCAGCAAGUGACCCAGACAGGCAACGACUCACUGAAGGUUGAUUGUGGACAAGACACAUUCAUAGAAGAUGAGGAAAUGAAGACAGACUUGGCCUGAGUCAGAUUCUCAGACGUCAAGUCAGGAGCAUGGUGUGUGUGACAGGAACAGAGCACGGAAAUGAAAUUAGUUCCGAAUGAGAGGGAAUAGUCUGCGUGCCUUACCAGCCAGGGAGCCUAGAACUGCCUAAUUAUCAGUGGUGCCUCCUCUUCUUUUCCCAGGAAUACCUGCAAGGACAGACUGUUCUCUAAGUUACUGAAAACUCGAAAGGCACUGGCCUGGUUAAAGCUUCUGAAAACAUGACAAUCCUUGUUGUAAACAUCUUUUGUGGCAGCAUUUGUGAAUAAAUCAAAGUGAUCAAGAGACCUGCUUCUUUGAAAGGCGGAGUGGACAGUGAGAGAGAGAGAGACAGAGAGAAAGGUCUUCCUUUGCCGUUGGUUCGCUCUCCAAUGGCCGCCGUGGCCAGCGCGCUGCUGCCGGCGCACCGCACUGAUCCGAAGGCAGGAGCCAGGUGCUUCUCCUGGUCUCCCAUGGGGUGCAGGGCCCAAGCACUUGGGCCAUCCUCCACUGCACUCCCGGGCCAUAGCAGAGAGCUGGCCUGGAAGAGGGGCAACCAGGACAGAAUCCGGCACCCUGACUGGGAUUAGAACCCGGUGUGCCGGCGCCGCUAGGAGGAGGAUUAGCCUGAUGAGCCACGGCGCCGGCCCCCAAAUUCUCUUUAAUUCUAUUUUCCCACAGGCUUUCUGAAGUUCCCUCAUCAGAUGUAGGUGUGUGGUAGGCUACACUCUGAGGUUUGUGGAAGCACACUCAAUGAUGUCCCCACAAUGAUGACAUUGUCUAACGGUACAUUUCUCAGAGUGCGCCUGCCCUGUCAACUCUGUAAGAAAAGCUAUGGGAAGAUGGCGAGGAGACUGACAACCUGGUGUGAGUUGCAGAGACUUUAGCGGGCAUGGAGGUGAAGAAGACAAGGAGGCUGUGCGCCGUCUACGUUGUUCUGUUAUCAUGAAUGAAGAGGGGCUGGUGUUUCUCCUGGCUAGGUUACUGAGUGAGUGGCUUAGUGUGAGCUGAAUUGGGAGACUGGCUUCUCUCCCACACACACCAACAACCAAGCUCAAAGUGUCCUUCAGGGCAGCACUCGGUUUUUGGGAAGGGCCCCCGGGGACAUGGAUCGCAAGCACGCUGCCCUUUGCCAUGGCUGUGGGGACACCUGUGCUGACCCCCGUCUCCUCCUGCCUCUCAGCAGUCCUACCUGGUAUCCUGUUCUCCGUACGUUUGCAAGCGCAUGCCAUGGGUUUUCCUUACUCAGCUCCGUGAGGUCUGCUGUGGCUUUUCUGUGGGCAAAGAGUGUCACUGUUCUAGUGGGAAUGACGCCAGAUGUCUAGGGUGCGUUCUGCCCCAGGGGACACCCCAUCUCAUCAGGAAGCACCUCUGCGGAACACAAGGAAGCCACAGUCACUGUAGGAUGACUCUGGGCAGGGGUCUUUGGUUUCUGAGCACAGCCUCGUCCUUGUGGUGAGACUAGCAGCCAAGCCCCAGAGUGAUAAGAGGCGGAGAAGCAGAUAGAGCCAGUGCGGUCACGUGGGUGCAAAGGGAAUGAACUAUGCACCCAACUCCCACGUUCCCAGCUUGUGUCAUCCUGUGAGGGUAUGGCAUCAUCCCCUCAGUAUAUAUUGGUGGGCUGUGUGGACCAUGACUGACGUCCUUCAAGUCCAUCUGUGACAAAGGACUCCCCAUCCUCCCUCUGCAACUGGAGAGAGGGAGGAACCGAGGAGCAAGGCUCCCUCCUACAGGCACUUUGUGGGCCCUUCUGCAUGCAUCAUUUCACUAGGGCUCACAGUAACACUCCUACAUGCUGAUUUCUAUUCUCAGUCUUUGAAUGUGGAAAUCCAAGCUCACAAGUUAUAUGUUAGUUACCAUCACCCUGGUUAACACUAGCCAUUGUAACAAACUAACCAUAGGCUUAUUUCCCAUCCAUUUAAAUCCCAAAUGAGUGUUCAUUCUCAGCUCUCCUCCAGUUGUCUGCUCCUGGGUGCAGGUCCUUCCACCUUUGGGACUUCUUUUCUAUUCUUUUGUUGUGCUUUGGCCCCUAUGGUGAGAUUUAAAAUGUAAGAUUGGUUUAAGAUUUGGUGAGAACAGCAUUUUUGAACAUGAAUGAACCACAGCAAUAAACAGUGUAAGUUCUGUAUUAUCUUGAGUAAGAAUCUGAGAUCCAUGGAGAUUGAGGGAUUGAUCGAGGUCUCAAAGUUAGGUAACAGAAAUUCUUUCAUGUGACCAGGUCUACCGGUGCUAGUGAAAAUUUGCUAAUGAGGCUGGGAG